rnacentral:rRNA from 1 species
GUGGGGGAUAUUGCACAAUGGGGGAAACCCUGAUGCAGCGACGCCGCGUGAAGGAAGACGUACUUCGGUAUGUAAACUUCUAUCAGCAGGGAAGAAGAUGACGGUACCUGACUAAGAAGCCCCGGCUAACUACGUGCCAGCAGCCGCGGUAAUACGUAGGGGGCAAGCGUUAUCCGGAUUUACUGGGUGUAAAGGGAGCGUAGACGGUGAAGCAAGUCUGAUGUGAAAACCCGGGGCUCAACUCCGGGAUUGCAUUGGAAACUGUUUUACUUGAGUGCUGGAGGGGCAAUCGGAAUUCCUGGUGUAGCGGUGAAAUGCGUAGAUAUCAGGAAGAACACCGGUGGCGAAGGCGGCUUGCUGGACAGUAACUGACGUGGAGGCUCGAAAGCGUGGGGAGCAAACAGGAUUAGAAACCCGGGUAGUCC